rnacentral:lncRNA from 1 species
AUGGCCCCCGGGCCGAGGGCAGGAACUCUGAAAUCCCCGCUGGCUCCCCUUCCCCCACCCUCCUCCCGACAGGAAUUCCAGGCCGUGUUCCCAGGGGGGGCUGCCAGGCGUGCUCCUGUGACGAGGACUCGGGUAGAGUCCCCUGCCGCGUCCCAGGUGGCAGAGGGCCGUGCAGACCCCCACACCCCCCACCUUUUUGUAUUCGAGCCUGUGCUUUGGCCCCCUCCGCCCCGCCCCCGUCCACGUUCGCGGACACACGGUUCCGCGCUCCCCGAAGGGGGCCCCCCUCUCUGGUCCCCACGCAGAGCGCGGCUCGCGGAGCCUGCGCGCAGGUGCGCGGACUCGCCCCCGGACUCGGUCCAGCAGUGCACCCCCCCGCCCCAACACAGCGCGCACCCGGUCACGCGCCCCGCAGGUAGGGCCGCCCCCCACCCCCCGCCACCACCACCACGGGCCCGCGUGGAACCCCGCGCCCUGCCCGGGACGAACCUCUCCGGCGGGGAGCACGGAGGCGCGUCGAGCGUCCAUGAGGCCCGAGACCGGCGCCGGCCGCGCUCGCCACCCCGCCGCGGCGACAGCAGCAGGUUCGGGUUCACCACCGCCAGGCCCGUGCCCAGCCCCCCCACCCCCGCCCGCCCCGCCGGUUCCCAGCGCCACGUGACUACAGGAGCUGCCGAGGGUCAGUCGCGGGCUCGGGCCGGCGGCCGAGGCCGGAGGGCGGGGCGGGCCGCGGGGCCGGCCGCGCGGGGCCCCUCUCCCGCCCCCAGCGCCCCCUCGCGGGCCGCGCGGGGGCCCAGACUCCGUUGCCAUGGCUUCCACCGGCCGGAUUUUUCCGGGACUGGCCCGGCUCAGGUUUCCCCGACCCUUUGUCCCUCCCGGCGAGCGCGCAUCCCUGGGCGACCGCGUGGCCGGACCGCGGUCACUCGGCGAGACCCGGCCUCGCUGGCCCGAGCCUUGGCGAGGGCGCUCCUCGACCCCCACCCACCCGGUCGACCCCCUCCGCUUCUCCGGCCACCUGGACCUUUGGCCGCGCCGCAGAACACGAAUAGCGCAGCGGCUGAGCCCGGGCUAGGGGCACGGCUGACCCGAGAAAGUCGGCUUCUGGGUAGUUCAGAGCUGGAAAAAAGGAAAGGCCCGAUGGGAUGA